GGUCGUAUCGUAACUGUCGAACAACUCUACUGCUUCACCAACCCUCACUAUGGCUACUGUUUCAAAACUUUGCAAUUCACCAACUGCAGCUCUCUCCUCUUCUUCACCAUCGUUCAAACCCAGAUCCUCUUCUGGGUUAGUUUCUUUCGUUUCUCUCAAAAACAAUACUGGGUUCAACUCCAAAGUUGUGUCCUAUCAGUUGAACCUUACAAAAUAGCCUUGUUUUGGGAGGCUUCUUGGUUGUCAGGUUUUCUCAACCAGGUGGAAAUGGAACAGCAACAAAAAGAACAUCUCUCCAUGAUCUUUAUGAAAAGGAAGGUCAGAGCCCUUGAUUUUCCAGAAAGCUAUUUUAUCUUCAAACGCUUACAAUGGUCAAUUCAGUUAUUACAAAUGGGAACUUGUACAAUCUGGAAAAGACAUUGAAGCUGCAUACUGGGAAGUUCUGAUUAAGGACAUUCAAGAUGCGUGCAAACUUUUUGAGCAUAUUUAUGAUGAAACUGAUGGUGGUGACGGCUAUGUUUCGGUCAAAGUUUCACCUAGACUUGCUGAUGAUACUAAAGGGACUGUAAAGGCGGCAAAAUGGCUUCAUAAAGUGGUUGACCGCCCCAAUGUCUAAAUUAAGAUUCCUACCACGGCUCCAUGUAUUGCUUCUAUCGAGGAAGUUAUAGCAAAUGGCAUUAGCGUCAACGUGACUCUGAGUUCUGUGCUUCCCUUUCUAGUUUUGGGCUAUAUAAACAAUUUUAUUGUAGAAGUUGUCUUAAUUUGUACUAUUAUAUGCUGGCGUAUUCUGCUAUUUCUUUGAGUGCGAAGUAUGUGCCCCUGCUGUAUUGAUCCAAGGGAUCAAAAUUUUGGUUCCUCAAACUCCUUCAAUUUUCCUAUGUUUCAAACUGACAACUUGUGAAUGUUAGUGUCCGAAAUACAAUUUCUGUUGUGUUUGUACAGCUCAUUUUCUCUCUUGCUAGAUAUGAAGCAGUCAUUGAUACUUACUUGGAUGGCCUGGAGGCUUCUGGUCUAGAUGACCUCUCCAGAGUUACAAGUGUUGCAUCCUUUUUGGUUAGUCGAGUUGACACCCUCAUUGACAAAAUGCUUGAAAAGACUGGAACACUAGAAGCUCUUGAUCUUCGGGGAAAGGUAACUUAGGUUCAAUUGCAUACUUUUACUCCUUGGAACUAUAAAACCUAGAAUUUAAUAUUGUGCUAUAUACGUGACAUCUUAACUAUUUUUGGCUGCCGUGGCUCAAUCUGCCUUGGCAUACCAACUCUACCAGAAGAAGUUUUGUGGUCCAAGAUGGGAAGCUCUUGUGAAGAAAAGCGCAAAGAAGCAGAGGCUGUUGUGGGCCUCAACCAGCGUUAAGAACCCAACCUACCCCGAUACUUUGUUUCAACCAUGCCUGACCAAGCUCUCCAAGCAUUUGUUGAUCAUGGUGUUGUUUCAAGGACGAUCGACGUAAAUAUUUUUGAAGCUAAAGGCAUUUACAAUGCACUUGAGAAGUUGGGAAUUGACUGGAGCUAUGUUAGCACUCAUCUUGAACUUGAAGGAGUCGACUCCUUCAAGAAGAGCUUUGACAGUCUACUUGACACCCUGCAAGAGAAGGCAAACUCUCUGAAGUUGGUAAGCCACUAAGCAAUUGCUUAUGAAUUUGUUCAUUGUGCCCAAAACAAAACAAGUGGGCUCUCAAAUCCUGCCUCUUAGCUUUGUAUGACUUCAUGCUUAUAUGUUGUGUACGAGUAGUGGCUUAGGUCAUAGAAAGUUCUUCCAAUCUAGUUGUAGUAUGUCACAUUCGGUAUUCAUGGCUCUAUUGGAUGUAAAUUUAGUUAACGAUGUUGGAAAUAUCCUGAUGUGGGCUAACAUUAAUUAUAGUUUUUGUUUUAU